rnacentral:rRNA from 1 species
UACGAAGGGGGCUAGCGUUGCUCGGAAUUACUGGGCGUAAAGCGCACGUAGGCGGAUUCUUAAGUCAGGGGUGAAAUCCCGAGGCUCAACCUCGGAACCGCCUUUGAUACUGGGGAUCUCGAGUCCGGGAGAGGUGAGUGGAAUUGCGAGUGUAGAGGUGAAAUUCGUAGAUAUUCGGAGGAACACCAGUGGCGAAGGCGGCUCACUGGUCCGGUACUGACGCUGAGGUGCGAAAGCGUGGGGAGCAAACAGG